AAACGAUGUUAGCUUGCUAACAGGCGUCGAGUGGCGGACGGGUGAGUAACGCGUAGGAAUCUACCAAAUAGCGGGGGGAUAGCCCGGAGAAAUCCGGAUUAAUACCGCAUAAUCUCUACGGAGUAAAGGGGGGCCUCUAUUUAUAAGCUUUCACUAUUUGAUGAGCCUGCGUAAGAUUAGCUUGUUGGUGAGGUAAAAAGCUCACCAAGGCGACGAUCUUUUAGCUGGUCUGAGAGGAUGAUCAGCCACACUGGGACUGGGACACGGCCCAGACUCC
rnacentral:rRNA from 2 species